rnacentral:rRNA from 1 species
GACGAACGCUGGCGGCGUGCCUAAUACAUGCAAGUAGAACGAACAGUUUAUACUGUAGCUUGCUACACCAUAGACUGUGAGGUGCGAACGGGGGAGUAACGCGUAGGUAAACUGCCUGGUAGCGGGAGAUAACUAUUGGACACGAUAGCUAAUACCGCAUAAUAUUGAUUCUUGCAUGAUAAUUGAUGGAAAGAUGCUAUUGCAUCACUACCAGAUGUAACUUCGUUGUAUUAGCUAGUAGGUGAGGUAACAGCUCACCUAUGCGACGACAAAUAGCCGACCUGAGAGGGGGCUAUGCCAAGCUGGUAUUGAGAGAUGGCCCACACUCCUACGGGAGGCAGCAGUCGGGGACCUUCGGCAAAGGAAGGAAGUGUGACUGAUCAACGACGCGUGAGUGCAGAAGGUUGUCGGGUCGGAAAACUGUGUUGUGAGAGAAGAAUGUGUGUUUGAGUCGAAAGUUCACACUGUGACGGUAUCUUACCAGAAAGGCACGGCUAACUACGUG